rnacentral:rRNA from 1 species
GGGCGAAAGCUGACGGUGCACGCCGCGUGAGGGAUGAAGGCCUCUGGGUCGUAAACCUCUUUUAUCAAGGAAGAAGAUCUGACGGUACUUGAUGAAUAAGCCACGGCUAAUUCCGUGCCAGCAGCCGCGGUAAUACGGGAGUGGCAAGCGUUAUCCGGAAUUAUUGGGCGUAAAGCGUCCGCAGGCGGUCUUUUAAGUCUGUCGUCAAAGCGUGGAGCUUAACUCCAUUUCUGCGAUGGAAACUGGAAGACUAGAGUGUGGUAGGGGCAGAGGGAAUUCCCGGUGUAGCGGUGAAAUGCGUAGAUAUCGGGAAGAACACCAGUGGCGAAGGCGCUCUGCUGGGCCAUAACUGACGCUCAUGGACGAAAGCCAGGGGAGCGAAAGGGAUUAGAUACCCCUGUAGUCCUGGCCGUAAACGAUGAACACUAGGUGUCGGGGGAAUCGAACCCCUCGGUGUCGUAGCCAACGCGUUAAGUGUUCCGACUGGGGAGUACGCACGCAAGUGUGAAACUCAAAGGAAUUGACGGGGGCCCGCACAAGCGGUGGAGUAUGUGGUUUAAUUCGAUGCAACGCGAAGAACCUUACCAGUGUUUGACAUCCUGCGAAUCUCUUGGAAACGAGAGAGUGCCUUCGGGAACGCAGUGACAGGUGGUGCAUGGCUGUCGUC